rnacentral:rRNA from 1 species
UGGGGAAUAUUGGACAAUGGGCGAAAGCCUGAUCCAGUCAUGCCGCGUGUGUGAAGAAGGUCUUCGGAUUGUAAAGCACUUUAAGUUGGGAGGAAGGGCAGUAAGCGAAUACCUUGCUGUUUUGACGUUACCGACAGAAUAAGCACCGGCUAACUCUGUGCCAGCAGCCGCGGUAAUACAGAGGGUGCAAGCGUUAAUCGGAAUUACUGGGCGUAAAGCGCGCGUAGGUGGUUCGUUAAGUUGAAUGUGAAAGCCCCGGGCUCAACCUGGGAACUGCAUCCAAAACUGGCGAGCUAGAGUAGGGCAGAGGGUGGUGGAAUUUCCUGUGUAGCGGUGAAAUGCGUAGAUAUAGGAAGGAACACCAGUGGCGAAGGCGACCACCUGGGCUCAUACUGACACUGAGGUGCGAAAGCGUGGGGAGCAAACAGG